rnacentral:rRNA from 1 species
GUAACCUCAGCUCAAGUUAGAACACCCGCUGAGUUUAAGCAUAUAAUUAAGAGAAGGAAAAGAAACUUACAAGGAUCCCCUAGUAGUGGCGAGCAAAUCGGGAAGAGCCCAACAUGAAAAUCGGGUGGCAAUUACACCUUAAUUGUAGUCUAUAGAAGCGUCCUUAGCGACAGACCUGGGCCAAGUCCCUUGGAAGGGGGAACCUGAGAGGGUGACAGCCCCGUCGGCUCGGGACCCUGCUACAUCAUGAGGCGUUGUCGACGAGUCGGGUUGUUUGGGAAUGCAGCCCUAAUUGGGUGGUAGAUUCCGUCCAAGGCUAAAUACGGGUGAGAGACUGAUAGCAAACAAGUACUACGAGGGAAAUAUGAAAAGGAAUUUGAAAAGAGAGUUAAAGAGUUCUUGAAAUUGCCAUGAGGGAAGCAGAUGGAGGUUAUCGAUGCAUCUCGGUCGGAUGUGGAACGGCUCAGGCUAGUCCGUCGUUCGACUUGAGGUUCAAAGCAACACAGGCUGCUACAUCGUCACAAGCACGGGUGGAUUGUUUCCCAUCAGUUUGCUGCUGCAGUGGUUGAGGAACGAGGCGUGCGCCCUUGUGGUGGGCCGUGUGUACCUACACACUCAUGGUGUUGGUUGGUGGGCUUUCUAUUCGACCCGUCUUGAAACACGGACCAAGGAGUCUAACAUGUGUACGAGUUGGCGAGUUUGAAAACUUGCGAUGUGCAAGGAAGCUAACGGGAAAGAUCCCCUCUCUUGGGGGGUGCAUCGUUGACUCACUUUGAGCUUAUGUGAAGGGUUUGAGUGCGAGCACACCUGUUGGGACCCAAAAUAUGGUGAACUAUGCCUGAGUAGGGCGAAGCCAGAGGAAACUCUGGUGGAGGUUCGUAGCGAUACUGAUGUGCAAAUCGUUCGUUAGGGGCAAAAGACUAAUCAAACCAUCUAGUAGUUGGUUUCUCCGAAGUUUCCCUUAGUAUAGCUAGAGCUCACGCGUAAGUUUUAUCGGGUAAAGAAAAUGAUUAGAGGCAUCGGGGGCAUAACACCCUUGACAUAUUCUCAAACUUUAAAUAGGUAAAAGGGUGUGGCUGCUCCAUUGAGCCACGUCGUGGAAUCGACAGCUCCAAGUGGGCCAUUUUUGGUAAGUAGAACUAGCAAUGCAGGAUGAACCAAAACUCAAGUUACGGUGUCAAAUUUCACGCUAUCCUAGAUCCCACAAAGGGUGUUGGUUGAUUAAGACAGCAGGACGGUGGUCAUGGAAGUCGAGAUCCGCUAAGGAGUGUGUAACAACUCACCUGCUGAAUCAACUAGCCCCGAAAAUGGAUGGUGCUGAAGUGUGCAACCUAUACUCGACCAUCGAAACAAUUUCCUGGAUCCGAUGAGUAGGAGGACGUAGGGGCCAUUGAGAAACCUUGGGCGUGAGCUUGGGUGGAUUGGCCCCUAGUGUAGAUCUUGGUGGUAGUAGAAAAUAUUCAAAUGAUAAAUUUGAAGACUGAAGUGGGGAAAGGUUCCAUGUGAACAGCACUUGGACAUGGUUUAGUCGAUCAAGGGUGCACUCUGAACGAGCAUCGAAAGGGAAUCGGGUUAAUUUUCCCGAACCGGGACAUGGCGGCAGGCGACAAUGUUAGGAAAUCUGGAGACGUCGUCAGGGGCCUCGGGAAGAGUUAUCUUUUAUUUUUAACAGCUUGCCCACCCUUGAAUCGGUUCACCUAGAGAUAAGGUACAACAGCUGGAAGAGCACCGCACAUCUUGCGGUGUCCAGUGUGCCCUCAGUAGCCCUUGAAAAUCUGGAGGACCGAGUACCAUUCAUGCUCGGUCGUACUCAUAACCGUAUCAGGUCUCUAAGGUGAAAAACCUCUGGUCAAUAGAACAAUGUAGGUAAGGUAAGUCAGCAAAACGGAUCCGUAACUUCAGCAAAAGGAUUCGCUCUAAGGGCUGGGCCUAGGGGUCUACGCCCUCAACUUGUGGGUUGUCAGCAGUCUGCCCGAGCUGCUAUUGUGGCGAGGGUGGGCAAUCACAUGCCGAUUGGGCUACGGGCAUAGAAUGCCCCCUACCGAGGGCUUUUCCCUAAGUGUCGAACAGUCGACUCAGAACUGGUACGGACAAGGGGAAUCCAACCGUUUAAUUAAAACAAAGCAUUGUGAUGGUCCCGGCGGAUGCUGAUGCAAUGUGAUUUCUACCCAGUGCUCUGAAUGUCAAAGUGAAGAAAUUCAACCAAGCACAGGUAAACAGCGAGAGUAACUAUGACUCUCUUAAGGUGGCCAAAUGCCUCGUCAUCUAAUUAGUGACGCGCAUGAAUGGAUUAAUGAGAUUCCCACUAUCUCUAUCUACCAUCUAAUGAAACCACAACCAAGGAAAUGGGCUUGGUAGAAUCAUCAGGUAAAGAAGACCCUGUUGAGCUUGACUCUAGUCCGACUUUGUGAAAUGACUUGAGAGGUGUAGAAUAAGUGGGAACCGUUUUCGGUGCAAGUGAAAUACCACUACUUUUAACGUUAUUUUACUUAUUUCAUGGGGCGGAGACGGGGCACUGCCCCUAUUUUUAUCCUUAAGGCACGUUUUGGCAGGUUGAUCUGGGCGGAAGGCAUUGUCAGGUGGGGAGUUUGGCUGGGGCAGCACAUCUAUUAAAAGCUAAUGCAGGUGUCCUAAGAUGAGCUCAACGAGAACAAAAAUAUCGUGUGGAAAAAAAGGGUAAAAGGUCAUUUGAUUUUGAUUUUCAGUAUGAAUACAAACCGUGAAAGCGUGGCCUAUAGAUCCUUUAGAUUUUCAGAAUUUGAAGUGAGAGGUGUCAGAAAAGUUACCACAGGGAUAACUGGCUUGUGGCAGCCAAACGUUCAUAGCGAUGUUGCUUUUUGAUCCUUCGAUGUCUGCUCUUCCUAUCAUUGUGAAGCAGAAUUCACCAAGUGUUGGAUUGUUCACCCACCAAUAGUGAACGUGAGCUGGGUUUAGACCGUCAUGAGACCGGUUAGUUUUACCCUACUAAUGAACCGCACUACAAUAGUAAUUCAACUUAGUACGAUUGGAACUGUUGAUUCACACAAUUGGUCAUCGCGCUUGGUUGAAAAGCCAGUGGCACGAAGCUACCGUGUGUCGAAUUAUUAUUGAACACCUCUAAGUGACAAUCCACGCUAGAAGCGGUGCAUGUCACUCUUCGACUGUAUCUCGACUUAAAGUAGGGGCAUCGCUUUGUUGCCCCCAGGGGCCCAUGUCAUUUGCAAACCAUGACCGUGAAGCAUCUCGGUCAAGGCAGCAUUGAAGUUCAAUUCCAAAUGGUCGUUGAUAAGAAUCAU